AGGCUGCAGUGAGGAAUCUUGCGCAAUGGGGGCAACCCUGAUCCAGCCAUUCCGCGUGAGUGAAGAAGGCCUUCGGGUUGUAAAGCUCUUUCAGCUGGAAAGAAACGGUGAGCUCUAACAUAGCUUGCUAAUGACGGUACCAGCAGAAGAAGCACCGGCUAACUACGUGCCAGCAGCCGCGGUAAUACGUAGGGUGCGAGCGUUAAUCGGAAUUACUGGGCGUAAAGCGUGCGCAGGCGGAUUGUUAAGCAAGAUGUGAAAUCCCCGGGCUUAACCUGGGAAUGGCAUUUUGAACUGGCAGUCUAGAGUGUGUCAGAGGGGGGUGGAAUUCCACGUGUAGCAGUGAAAUGCGUAGAGAUGUGGAGGAACACCGAUGGCGAAGGCAACCCCCUGGGAUAACACUGACGCUCAUGUACGAAAGCGUGGGUAGCAAACAGGAUUAGAUACCCUUGUAGUC
rnacentral:rRNA from 1 species